CCAGACUCCUACGGGAGGCAGCAGUGAGGAAUAUUGGUCAACGGGCUUACGCCUGAACCAGCCAAGUCGCGUGAGGGAAGACUGCCCUAUGGGUUGUAAACCUCUUUUGUCAGGGAGCAACGCCGGCUACGUGUAGCCGGACUGAGAGUACCUGAAGAAAAAGCAUCGGCUAACUCCGUGCCAGCAGCCGCGGUAAUACGGAGGAUGCGAGCGUUAUCCGGAUUUAUUGGGUUUAAAGGGUGCGUAGGCGGAAUGCCAAGUCAGCGGUAAAAUCGCGGGGCUCAACCCCGUCGUGCCGUUGAAACUGGGUGCCUUGAGUGGGCGAGAAGUACGCGGAAUGUGUGGUGUAGCGGUGAAAUGCAUAGAUAUCACGCAGAACUCCGAUUGCGAAGGCAGCGUACCGGCGCCCAACUGACGCUGAGGCACGAAAGCGUGGGGAUCGAACAGGAUUAGAUACCCGCGUA
rnacentral:rRNA from 1 species